rnacentral:rRNA from 1 species
AUUGAACGCUGGCGGCAUGCUUUACACAUGCAAGUCGAACGGUAACAGGUCUUCGGAUGCUGACGAGUGGCGAACGGGUGAGUAAUACAUCGGAACGUGCCUAGUAGUGGGGGAUAACUACUCGAAAGAGUAGCUAAUACCGCAUGAGAUCUACGGAUGAAAGCAGGGGACCUUCGGGCCUUGUGCUACUAGAGCGGCUGAUGGCAGAUUAGGUAGUUGGUGGGGAAAAGGCUUACCAAGCCUGCGAUCUGUAGCUGGUCUGAGAGGACGACCAGACACACUGGGACUGAGACACGGCCCAGACUCCUACGGGAGGCAGCAGUGGGGAAUUUUGGAAAAUGGGCGAAAGCCUGGUCCAGCAAUACCGCGGGCAGGAUGAAGGCCCUCGGGUUGUAAACUGCUUUUGUACGGAACGAAAAGCCUGGGGCUAAUAUCCCCGGGUCAUGACGGUACCGUAAGAAUAAGCACCGGCUAACUACGUGCCAGCAGCCGCGGUAACAC